GGGAGUGAUCGGUUUAGACAGGUAACUCUUCUUUUGAAUGUAGGUCGAGGAUUCUAAUUGUCUCGUAAAAUCUAUUAGAAAAACGCAAAUGCCACCAAUUCUGGCAAGAGUAUCGUAAGUCCUUACUUUACUUCCGCUUACGCUUUAGCCUAAGCGACGUUUAAUUCAAUUUUUUCUCGACGAAUUGAAUUAAGCGCUUUCGCGGUCGAGAUCGGCAAAAUCAACUGCUUCGCUGAUAGCGCCUAAACUUAGAAGCUCGAGAUUAAAGUUUUUCGGUCGCUUUAGAGCUUUAAUCUUUAAACAAAUUAAGCGUCCUAAACCUAUAGAUGUUCACUGGAAAGUUGUUUGGACGCGAGUUCGAUUCUCGCCACUUCCACCA
rnacentral:tmRNA from 2 species